GGCAGUGGUAGCUCAGUGGUUAAGCUGUUGGCCUACUGCUUAGAAGGUCAUGAGUUCAAAUCCAAGCACUGCCA